GGGUGGUUGGGUGGUUGUUGACUGGCCAUGGCCAUGGGCAGCCCCAGCCCCAGCCCCAGUGACUGUGAGUGUCUCAAUCAGUACAGUUUGAAGAAGACGGAGUCGUUAAAACCGACGUGAAUCACCAAGAAUCCUCGACUCAAAGUGCUGGGUUAGUUCUGGAGGGGAGACAUAAUGCUGAUAUAGGAUGGAUUUCGGAGCUUAGAAGGAAUGGAGAUGCUCUGGGAAAUGGAAUAUGACGGCAUUGUGCUUGAGCCCUGGUCAAGGUGGGCAGCUUAUGGUGUCUUGCAUGAUCCUGAAAUGAGGAAUAAGUAGAUGAAACCAUCAACACUGUGGCGGGAUUUUGAGGAUUGUGUCUGGGCCUGCAAGCCUAGGCGCUGCAGUUUGUUAAACAACUUGGGCAUGCAAUGCAUUCUGUAAGCUCAUCACAGAAUGGGAAGCAACAUUUACAGUAGGCCUACAUUAUCUGUCCACCAUAUUUAGAGAACCUCCAACCUCAUGACUUCAGUCCAGAGGAUCUUCAGAGCUUGAGUGAUGCUGUAGAUAGUUUCUCAUUAAUGAACUAUGACUUCUCAAGCCCUCACAACCCAGGUCCAAAUGCACCUUUGAAGUGAAUCCAUUUCACUCUGCAGAUACUCACAGGCAACAGGGGUGCUCGUACCCUGGCCCAUAAGAUAUUUCUGGGCAUCAAUUUUUACGGAAAUGAUUUCAUGCUUUCUGAAGGUUCUGAAGGUGGUGGAGCCAUCGCUGGAAUAGAAUACUUCUCUUUACAGGAGAAGCAUAAACCUAAAUUACAGUGGGAAAAAUUACAUAGGAAAAGAACAGCGGGGAGCAUUUUUUUUCCUCUACAUUGAUGAUGACCCAAUCAAUCACGCAGUGUUCUCUAGAAGAAGCUCGACUAGGGGAGCAGGUAUCUCAAUCUGGGAAGCUAGUCAAGGUUUGGAUUACUUUUUUGAUAUUUGGAACUUGUCAAUACAAUGUAACAUGACUCUUAUUUUUAGUGGUUCAUCUUAACUGUAACAAAUUUUGGUUAUGUCAUCAUCAGUGUAUAGAGUUCUUUCUGAAUAGAAAGGAGGUAUAAUUUUCAUCAU